ensembl:lncRNA
CCUGUCUGGAUGAAGUCCUCCUGUAUUGUAUUAAUAGCCCGGAAGUCUGAAAUUAGCAUUACUAUGUGAAACGUUUUGGAUGAUCACAACAAUAUGUUUUAUCCAGGUUGCUCUGUAUAGUAUGAUAUUUGAUAUUUUCAUGUGUUAUACUUUCCAGCAUUUUUCCUUUUUUUUCUGCAGGGUCUGUAAGCGUCACAAAAGUUCCCCACUUUCUGUGCACAAUGGCUCAAUAUUCACCAAUUCUCACACCCCUUUGGUGAAAUGGUUUGAGUUUAUGUACAGGUCUUGCAGUAGAAGCAUUUUGCCAUGAUCACUGAGGGUAUAGCAGGAAGACAUUGACAAGAAAAGUACUCAGAAUGACAAAAGUACUCAAAAAGGUGUCCAUUUCUGCCCUCAAGAGACUGAGGAUAAGAGGAAUGAGAAUUGGGGGUCAACAUCGAUUUGUUGUUAUCGACGAGAGCAAGUUUGCCCAAAAACAAAAGUACCAUCGUGGCCGAUGUGGCAACACUUGGUGUCGUGAACGUCAGUGGGUUCUGAGUUCUGAGACUCGUCAAGGACCGCUCAAGGCAAACACUUAUAAGCCAAAUUCAACGACAUAUCAGACCUAGAAAAUCAAUCUUUAAGGUUGAAUGGCAUGCGAGACAACUUUCCCAGUACGAAUAUCAUCAGUAUUCUAUCCGCCAUAAAAGACACUUUGUUGAUCCAGGGACUGGUGCUCAUACUCAGCAUACUGAGCGUGCGUGGCAGAAUUACAAGUUGGAAAUAUGGCGUCAUAGAGGAAAUCGUACUCCUGAGUCAUUGAAAACUCACCUUAAGAUGAUAGAGUGGCACCACUGGUUAGCUGUACGCCAUUAUGAUGGUGUCUUAGGUAGACUUAUCCAUGAUGUAAAAAAGCAUGUCAAGACAAUAUAAAUGUGUGGGAUGCUGUAAUUAAGUUUUUGCAGUGAUAUGGACCAAACGCUGCAUGGCAUAACCCACCAUUCUACUCUUUUCAUUUAUCAUUUAUUUUUUGGUUAUUUUUAUUAUUGGAUAAUUGAUUUUAUUUCUCUAACACCGUUCAUCUUAUUUUUAGAAAUUUGAAAUAGUCUAUUGUCUGACCUUCUGUUGGAGGAAACUUGAUAGCUUACUUUGAUAAUUAAUCUGCAAUGUCAUGUUUAUGACAGAUUUAUGACAGGUUAUGUUGUCUUGGUAAAGUCAAGUUGUCAUAACAAAGACAUCUCAAACAGUGUCAUCUUUGCAUUAAAAAUGUCACAGUUGAGUGAAUGACACUUAAUGACAGUUGUCAUAAACCCUCCUUCAUAUUCAUGGAAUGUGUCAUGUCAUUAUUAUGAAGGUGUCAUGUCAGACUUAUGCACACCCCUUCAAGUAAAGUGUUACCAAAUAUGGCACUGUGUGUGUGUAUUUAUUUUUUUUUUUUACAUAUUUAAUAUAUGUAACUUAUAUAUUCAUAUAAGAAAAGGUCUGUACAAUAUAAAUACUUAAUUAUGAGGAAAAUACUGUAUGUAUGUAUAUAUACAAAAAACUUUGGAGGGUUUAUGAUGCUAAUUAUGACCGUUGAAGCACGUCAUCACAGUCUUGUGAAAAGGGUCCGUAGGAAAUGGUUCUUUAUAAUGAUGGUGCUGAGACUAGUAAAUAACUUCUGCUACAGGUGCAUCGUACAAACAGAUGGCAGAAUAAAAACCAAAGCAAUCGGCUCAUUAAUAUAAUCCUCUAUGGCUUGACAGUGAAUAGACUGGAUGAACUUUACUCUUGGGAUGUGAACAGCUAGACGGGAUCCUAAUGAAAAGGAUGAAGCUGAGUAACCUUUACAUCACUGAAAUCUCUGCAAGCCUCUGGACUCUUGGAAAUUUACCUACAGUAGAGACUCAAUAAAUAUGUAUUUGCCUGCUAUGCAGAUGUUACUGUUGACCCUGCCAAACAGUCCCACGGUUUUGCGAGAGCACAAUUUAUUGUGAAAUCAAGCAGCAUGGUUUUUAGGCAGCUUAAAUUUUUGUCUUGUUUCCAAUUUUUUUUUCUUUCACAAAAAAGCAUUACCUGAGAGAGGAACAAACUAUAUUAGCUAAUCUAAAUCCAAACAAAUUAAUCAGUAUCUGUUCAACUUUCCUGCCAACACAAUCUCACAAUAGCACAUUUUACAAGGUGCUGAUUUUGCACAGAUAUAUACAAAAACGGAUAUAUACAAUAAAGGUCUAAGCAUGAAGGUCUAUAACUGUGACUGGGCCUUAAGCAGAUGUACCAAAAUGUAUGAAUGAGAGUAUGAAUUCAUAUGAAUUAGCCUCCAAUUUGCCAAAACAUAAAACAGGUAUAAAUUGCCAUGAGAUGUGUUUGUCCUGCUGCUGUAUGGCAGUGAAUUCUAUUGCAAAGUAAGCAGGCAUGAACCCAUUAUACAGUGCACCACAUUUAAUAUUUCCAAGGGAUCGCUCCAAUUCAUUAAUUCACAAUCUAAACUUGUCUAUUGUUUUUCUGUGCUGUGGCUGUUAUGAUGCUUUUAAACUACUAUAUAUAUAAUACUGAAUAUAAUGCAUAUUAGCACUCAUGUCUGAUUUAACCAGCACAGAUUAAGUUUAAAGGGAUAAUUCACCAAAAAAUGAAAAUAUGAUGUUUAUCUGCUUACCCCCAGGACAUCCAAGAUGUAGAUGACUUUGUUUCUUCAGUAGAACACAAACAGAGAUGUUUAACUCAAACCGUUGCAGUCUGUCAGUCAUAUAAUGGAAGUGAAUGGGAAUCAUGGCUUUGAGAGCCAAAAAAUCAAACAAACCCUGCGGUUUAUGACGAAGACGCAUCAUGCAUCAUUGAAUUGAAUAUAAAUGCUUCAUAGGCGUAAUAGUUUUUAUACAGUACAAACUAUUUUCGAUCCCCUACACCAACCCUUACAUUUAAAAAAUAAAUAAAUAAAUAAAUAAAAAUAAAAAAACUGAUGAAAAAAAAUUUGGUUUGCGGGGACACAGGAAGUGUCCUCAUAAACCAUAUUCACACUGUAAUACCUAUGUUAUUAUCCACAUUACCAUAAACCAAGUAUACCUGCACACACACACACACACACACAUACACAAAAUGCUGUAAAUGCUAUUGCAAUUUUUUAUUUUUCAUUUUUUUGUGAAAAACAGCAGCGUUGUAAGUAAAGGACAUAAUAAUAAUAAUAAUAAUAAUAAUAAUAAUAAUAAUAAUUAAAGCUGCAAGCAGCGAUUACCGGGGUUCAAGCACAUUAAGGCCUCUGAGGUGGUCUCGGCCAACCUGGAUGUAUGGAUGACAGUUAAACACAUCCAAAAAUGGAGAACAGGCUAACAGACAGACACACACACUGAAAGUAAAUUAUUAGACUAAUAUAUUAAUACUUUAUAAUACACAUAUAUACAAAGACAAAGACACACAUACAUGCACACACAUUUUGUUGCAGAUAUAGGUAUUUGAAAUAAGUGAUAGGUGACAAUAAACUUAUUGCAAGUCUUCUCUUUUUAAGAGUUUAGAUGUCAUUUUCAGGUUAAACUGUAAUCAUAAUGUGGCCAAAUUGUAAAAACUGAUAUAUCUGUAUUAACAAAAUGGAAAACGUUGACUCAAUGAGAUUUAAAAUGUUAUAACAGUUAAUCUAUUAAUGUUUUGGCAUGAAUUCAUGAAACCUUUGAACAGUACUGUUUAACUUAGCUGAAUGAGACCAUUAGUGGUCUUCCGCUGCCAUCUAGUGGUUAUAAAAUGCAUUUACUCAAACAACACUGUGUUUUUAAACAUAACUGUUAUAGUGUUAUUUUUUUUGCCCAAUCUUUCUUAAAUUUUGCAUGCUUGUUUAGAAUGAAAUUAUGCAUUAUUUUUACACAGUUUUGAUAAUUUGUGGGCUUUCUGUUUGUAUUAAUAGGCCUUUGUGUACACUAUGAAAAGAACAUAUUAAAAAAUUACUGGUUUAUAGUUGUCCAAAUGCAAUUGUUCAACAUGUUUUUGAUAAUUAUUGACCUUCAGAGUCUAGAGAAUUGUACUUCAGUGGUUUUUAUUGAUUUUCAGCUUAAAGCCUUGGAUUAGUUUGCCAAAGUAACUUUUUAAAAUAAUCUUGAAUAUUUAAUUAACAGCUUCAUUGACAACAUUGGUCCCAGAGGCAAAGUUGUUCAGAAUGAGGACAUCUAUCAUAUGAUAUGAAGAUCUAGUGUUUGUGUGAAUAUAUGAGCAUUUUCAACCAAUUUGAGGCCAUUUACCAUAUAAAUCUUUUGUUUUUGAGGCCUUUUCUACUGUGAUAGCGCCACCUAUGGUUUGAUUUCCAUGAAACUUUGCAUGCUUGUUCAGAGUCAUCUGACAUAUGUUUUCACCAAGUUUCGUAAAGUUUUGAGUUUUCAUUUAGG